AUGUUGGCUGCCCCAGAGCCGGGGGCAGUUGGAGAGGCCAGGACCAGGCCAGGGGCCCCUUGGGACCUUGUCUCCCCCACGCCUACCUCAGAUGAGUGCCCCGAGGUGAGGCCAGGGAGAGGCCCAUGGCUCCCCGGGCACCUCGGGGCCCCACCUUUGUCCUUGGCCCCAUUCUACCCCUGGUCCUUAUCUCCCUCCAGCCCUCUGCUCUCCCCUUCCUUCACCCCACAAUCCACUUCUGCUCUUUCCUGCUGGGCUUCCAGUCACCAUCUCACUCAUCUCUGCCCCUCUGCCCCUCCCUGCCUCCUUAUACCAGUCAUACCCCCAGGAGGCAGUGAGGGCUCUGGACUUGGAAUCCAAGCAUGGCUCUGUUUUGCCUGGGCCCCCCACACACACUUCCCAGCUGUAGAACCCGGGACAAAUCCCAGGACAUCUGGCAGCCUCAGUUUCCUCCUCUGGAAAAUGAAGGGCUUAAACUCACUGAGCCCAGACAUCUUUUCCUACUGUAUUGGCUCCAAUGAUCCACUUACAAUGGCGGCUCCUUGCCUAGCUUGAGCUGCCCUGGGGGCAGUGGGAAAGUCUGGUCUGGCCCAGAGUAAGGAAAGAGAGUUUUACAUGCCAUUCCCAAGGAAGGGGACACUUGAAGCCUGGGAGAAAGCGGAGUUCUCUGGGGGCGAAAUGAGGCAGAAAGAGAGGAGAGCAAAGGCUCAGUGGACAGUCUGGGAGGACCUCUAUUGAGCUGUCUAGAGGGGAGACCAAACAGGAAAAAGAGGUGGGGGUAUUCGUGCCCCCAAGAAAAGAAGCCACUGGAUUGGACGCUGGCACCACGGAGAAUGGCCAAGGCAGAAGUCAGAAGGCACGUGGUUGGGGAAUGAGUUUGUUGUGAUGGAGGCAGAGAAAGAGUCCGGGCUAGAAGUUGGGCAUCGGAGAGAGGAGAGAGACUGGAGGUUCCUUCAGGUAGUGGCCAAUGGGAAGGGGGGCAGAGCAGGGCAGGCUGGGGUUCAGGGCAGGGAGGUGGCUAGCUCACCUGGGGCUCAGAGGAGCCAGAGGCAAAGUCUUCUGCGGAGAGGGGGCAGGGCCAGGGUGGGAGGCAGGGGCUUGAGGAGAAAGGAGAAGGCUUGUCAUGGGUGCCCGGCCUCUCUGGAGUGAAGGAAGCAGAUGGGGUGUCUGAGAGCGAGGGAUCAAUCAGCAGGGCUGCUUCUGGGGAGCACCCUUCACCCCUGAAAUAGCAGACAGUAGGAGGCAUCUAAGCUGGGGAAGGAAGGACUCAUGGGAAGACUAGAGAGGUCUGGGAGGACAGAGAAGGAGCAGAGCCCCGAGGUCACCUCGCGGGCAGGUCCUGGACUCAGGCAAUAGUGGGCCUGGUGGAGGGCCAGAAAGAGGGAUGUCUGAAUUGAGGAUCUGAGAGGAGGAGCAGCCCACCCUGGUCCCCAUCCAAGCUCAGCUGCCCUUCUCCUGCUCUGAGUCUAGACAAAUAACCCCCAAGUUACUUCUGUUAGACUCUAGUGCCUAGUCUAGUGCCUCAUCCGUUCCAUCAUCCAGCAUUUAGGGGGGC
ensembl:lncRNA